rnacentral:rRNA from 1 species
CCCGCUGAACUUAAGCAUAUCAAUAAGCGGAGGAAAAGAAACUAACAAGGAUUCCCCUAGUAACUGCGAGUGAAGCGGGAAAAGCUCAAAUUUAAAAUCUGGCGGUCCUUGUGGCCGUCCGAGUUGUAAUUUAGAGAAGUGUUGUCCGCGCUGGACCGUGUACAAGUCUCCUGGAAUGGAGCGUCAUAGAGGGUGAGAAUCCCGUCUUUGACACGGACUGCCAGGGCAUUGUGAUACGCUCUCAAAGAGUCGAGUUGUUUGGGAAUGCAGCUCANAAUGGGUGGUAAAUUCCAUCUAAAGCUAAAUAUUGNGGAGAGACCGAUAGCGAACAAGUACCGUGAGGGAAAGAUGAAAAGAAACUUGGGAAGAGAGUCAAACAGUACGUGAAAUUGCUGAAAGGGAAAACGCUUGAAGUCAGUCGCGUCGCUCAGGACUCAGCCUUGCUUUUGCUUGGUGUACUUCCUGUUCGAUGGGUCAGCAUCAAAUUUUGGUCGGUGGAUAAAGGCUCAGAGAAUGUGGCAUCUUCGGGUGUGUUAUAGCUCUGGGUUGUAUACAUCGGCUGGGAUUGAGGAACUCAGCACGCCGCAAGGCCGGGUACUUGUACCACGUACGUGCUUAGGAUGCUGGCAUAAUGGCUUUAAUCGACCCGUCUUGAAACACGG